AAAUUUUGAAAUUUUGAAAACUCGAAAUUUUGAAACUUUGAAAAUUUGAAAAUUUGAAAAUUUGAAAUUAUUUUUUUUAUUUUAAAAAAUAAUAAUUUCGAAAAAUUAAAAAGGGCAAAAUCGGAUUUCCAUAUUUCAUUAAAGCAAUGAGGGUAUAGGAGAUUUGAGAGACCCAUAGGAGAUUGCUCUAUCACAUAAGGGGGCAUGGGAGGAGUUGACUCGGAGGAUAGCAAAAAGAAUCUUUCUGUUUCUCUUUUUUUUCUCGGAACAAUGGCUUGUCUAUGCCCUCCUGAAAUCUCCUAUACCCCCAAUUCAUUAAUGAAGUGGUGAUUGACGAAAAUACACUCUUAUUUAAGAAAACAAAAUUAGAUAAAACAUAAAUUGAAGUUUCGGUUUGGUUGGAUUGGUUUAAGGUUUGAUUAAAAAUCGGUUUUGACUUUAUCAUUUUUUUUAAAAAAAUAAUAAAACAUGGCAAAAAAAAGGAGCGUAACCGCAGUUCUUCAUUCCCAGCUCCGCUUUCCCCGCUCACCUCCACUCCCUCGGCUCUGGAAGCUCUCUCGCAGCUCAGCUUCUCCUCCUGAACCUCCACUCCUCUCUCCCCUAGCUUCUCCAUCGCCACCGUCUGUCGGCGUAGACCAAUCGAAAGUAGGUUGUGGUCUCCGUUUUGAGCUUUCUUUGGGAAGUAGGUUUUAAUGGAUUUGCAAUUGAAAUGCACAACAGCCUUGUUUUGUUUGGGGGUCGAUUUGUAAAGGAAAUUGGUAUAUAUUGCAUUUCAGUGAUGGAAUGAGAGUGUAUAGGCAGUAGAAUUAGACCUAGAUCGAUCUUGGGCACCUGAAACCUAAUUCAAUUAUUUCUUGAUAAUUGUAGUAUAACUGUCUAACUCAGAACAACGGGUAGAACUGUGGAUAACUGGAAAACUAGGAACAAUUGAUUGAACUGUGGAUAACUGGAAAAACUAGGAACAGCUGGUAUAACUUUGGAUAACUGUAGUCAGUUUCUUGUGUUUGUUCCUUUUUUUGGCAGGAUACAAUGAGCAAUCACGUCAGUGAUAUACCUGGUAGUCCGAAGAGAGCUACAAGAUGAUGUAUAGCUAUUUGUACAUGUUAGAGCAAGUGAAUCCGGAAACAAAAACUUGUGUGAAAUUGGAUGAUGCAAGUAAAUUCAAGUACCUCUUCAUAGCUUUGGGAGCUUGCAUUGAAGGGUUUGCAAUUAUGAAGAAAGUGAUAGUUGUGGAUGCGACAUGGCUGAAGAACAGAUAUGGUGGUGUUCUAGUUUUUGCGAAAGCUCAAGAUCCUAAUGUUCACAGUUAUCCACUUGCAUUUGCAGUACUAGAUGGUGAGAAUCUUGUUAGUUGGACUUGGUUUUUCGAGAUGCUUAAAAGUGUUAUACUAGACUCUUCUGAACUGGUUAUCAUGAGUGAAAUAAAUCAGAGCCUGAUCUUUGCUAUUGGAAAUGUGUUUCCACAGGCUUACCAUGGUCAUUGUUUAUGGCAUUUGAUGGAAAAUGUGAAAUGGCAUGCUUGUAACGUCAACAAGAAUAUAGUCGGGCAUAGAUUUAUGGAGUUGGGCAUAUAUUAUACGGUGGAUGACUUCAACUCUGCUUAUGACUCAUUUAAGAUAAGAUAUCCUGUUGCGUACAAGUAUGUGGAGAAACAUACUGAAAAGGACAAAUGGUAAGAGUUUUUUUCCCAUGUGACAGGUACAACUUGGAUACAUGCAACAAUGUGGAAUCAAUGAAGAACGCGGUUAAAGAGGCAACAAGGCUGGCCUUAAUACCAAUGCUGGAUUGUAUCAUUAGGAAAUUCUCUGAUUGGUUCAAUCAACAAAGGAUGAUGUUUCUAGAUCAAUCGAUACAAGACUGGUGCCUCUGGUUGAGAACUACUUGCACGGUCUAUGGGCUGAGAACUACUUGCACGAUCUAUGGGCUGUUGCACAACAGCUAUCUGUGCGGGAGCUUGAUAGUUAUGAGCUUAAGUACGAGAUCACUGACACUGCAGGAAAGAUGUUUUGGGCGACCUUGGUUGGAAAAUCUUGUACUUGCAAGGUGUGGGAUUAUGAAAAGUUUAUUUGUCUGCACGGACUGGCAGCUUACAUCUAUUUCACUAAGAACGUUGAUGGCAGCCGCCUUAAGAUCCAUGAGCUGUGCUCAAAAUACUACUGGACGGAGCUGUGGGCUUUGGCGUAUUCCAGGAAACUUUAUGUUGUGCCCGAGAUGUCUUCUUUGAAUGUACCGGAUCACAUCAAGGAGGUGAAGAUCAUGCAUCCAGAUCGCAUCACACGGAAGGGAAGGAAAAGAAUUAAAAGUUAGUUAUUUGGAUGAAUUAGGAGUAAUACAUUUAGCUCUAUUAUCUGUUUAUUUUGUGUUGUAUGCUUCGGAAAAACUGAGUAAAACUUGGUUAUCUACUUUUUUUUGUUCCUUUGUUUUGUAAUGCAUUAGUAUUAUCUAUAUCACAACUCGGUUAUCAUAGUUUUCCAUUUGAUUUCUAUACUCUAACUUAUAAUUCUUACAAACAUGACAAAUGUUUUUACAAAAUUUUGAAUACUCGUAAUAUAUGCAUUAUAAAACCUUGUAGUUUCAAUCACACUUUUUCAAUGAAGAACUUCUUACAAAGGAAAUUUUCGACUUAUAUCUAUUAAACCUACAUUAUUGUACAGAACAAUAGAAAUUACAUUUUUAAGUACUAAAAUCGAAAAUAAAACUAAAAAAACAAAUUAAAAAAAUUAGUAACACUAAAUAAAUUAGAAACCACCAAAAGUAGAACUAUGACCAAAUUUCGUAACACUACUAUCUUCUGUAUAACUAAGAACAAAUGUUAGGAGGGAAAUGAAUUUUUUUUGGCGCCUAAACAAUAAAAAAAGAACGAAAGAAAUUUCUCAUCUCAGUUGGAACCUUCACUUUUUCUUAUCCAUCUCUCUCUUCUCCUAAACUCUCUCUAUCUCUCUCUCUCUCUCUCUCAGAAUUCUCAUCUCAACCACACAACAUCCUCUCACUUUUUCUUAUCUAUCUUUCUCUUCCUUCAUUUCGAGAGUCAAACCGGUCCAUUUCCCGAAUCUUCCAUUUACCAACACUAAUUCUCUCUCUCUUCUAUUACAUCUGAAACAACAACUUCCCUCUUCCUCUUCCAACUCUCUAUAUUCCUUUCGACCUCUCUCUCUCUCUCUCUCUCGGAAUCGUUCGAUCUCUCUAUCUCUUUUCUUCUAUUCUCAGGUGGAAAAAGCGAAGGUGGAAAAAGCGAAGGUGGAAAAAGCGAAGAUGGACGUGGGUUCGGGAUCUUCGACGAGGAGCCGAAAUUAUGGUUGGAGAUUGCGUUUUUGUAGCUUACCGGCGAAUAUAACGCAAGCUUGGACUGACAAAAACUCAGGUCAACGAUUUUAUAGCUGUCCGCGUUUUAGGCUUGGAGAUGAAUGCAAUUACUUCUCUUGGUUUGAUGAAGAGGAAGGUACGAAAUGGCAAAGAAGAGCUUUGAUUGAAGCCCGAGAUGAGAUCAGGCAGAAGACCAGAGUGAUUGAGCAAUUAAUUAAAAGCAUCUCAGAAAUGAAAAGGAAUUUGGAGAACAAAGAGAUAGUGGAUGACGAUAAUGACGAUGGGGUUGUUAGAAAGUUUGAAGAAUUCUAUGUUUAAGUGUUUUGGAUUGUCGGUCUUUUCCUCAUUUAUGGUCGGUCUUUUCCUGUUUGUUUUCCGUUUCUUUGCUUCGGCGAAUAGGCUUACAAGUCUUUAUUUUGUGGUUUGUCUAAGACUUGUAAAACUCCAAACUUUCGUUUAUUUAUUUUGUGGUUGACGAUAACAUGAAAUUGAAAUUGCAACAUGAUCUCAU